rnacentral:lncRNA from 1 species
AUGCAGGGUGCGAGUCCCUUUCCUGAGCACUUCAUUGAAAAAGAUGAAGUUUUUCACCAUCUGAUGAGGAAAAGUGAUUUUGAUGAACUUUGUGGACAAACACUCCAACCAGUUCUGCUUGCCCUAAAAACUUAUCUAGAGAGGUCUGUCAAGGAACAUCUUCCAGGCGGGAAAUUUUGGGAUUCUGGUGAGAAUUUGACAAGUGUCACAAGAGCAGCUCCAAAAAGCAACAAAAAUCCAGAAAGAAUAUUCGGUGUCUUAGACUACCUCGUUCACCACAGGCCAAAUGCAUCUGCCAUCACAAAUGAAGCAUAUCUGAUGUACUCCUUCAACAAAACAUCAAAGUGGGUGUCUAUGUUACCUCCUGCAAAGCUUGAACAACUAGUGGGUGAUGUGAGAAAAAGAAGAAAGGAGAUGGAGGCCAAAUUCAAAGAAAGGGAGGCCAGCAUCAUAAAGCAUCAUACAGAAAAGCAACAAAAGGCAGUAGAGGCUUUGGCCGAAAGCAGGAGAAAAAAAUUUGAAAAGAAGAAAAAUUUGACGGAAAUAAUUAUUGAUGCAGGUCUAUGGCAAUCAGAGAAAGAUCUUGAUAGCAAAAUGCAGCAGUGUGAUAGUGAUGCUGAGAGAUUCAGAGCCCUUACAAAUCAGCUUCGUUUCCGACAGGAAGUGCUACAGCAGGACCCCAGAGGGAGGAAGGAUGUGUUCAUUGUUUCCAGAAAAGACAGUACAGGGAAAGCUAAAGCUAAGCCAUGGACUGAACUGAAAGAUAAUCUGUUGUUUCUCAUCCAAUCUGCUGUGGCUGCAGGUUCUUCCAAGACAGUCUCCAAGUGUGCCCAAGAAAAAAAGACCAUCCCAUUCUUGCCGGGAAAAAGAGUACGCCACUUAUUUGCAGAUGGUGAAAUCUACAUAGGAAAAGUUAUUUCCCAGGUCCCUGGAUUUCCCUCCUGGUUUAAUGUUAUUUAUGAUGGAGAUGAUGCUGUGUACAGCUACAGAUUGAUAGAUGACUACAAGGAUGGAAGUCUGGAGAUCAUUAUUGAAGGCUAA